rnacentral:tRNA from 1 species
UAUUGUUAUUUUGACAGACUAGUGCAUUAAAUUUAGAAUUUAAUUAUGCAAAUUAAUUUACAAAUAAUAC